CAUGACCCAUCUGCCUGGCACCAGCACCUGGGGCUGCCAGGCAGCCACCCCUGCAGCUGUGUUGACAGGACCUGGCAGAGGGACUGACCCACCUUUGGAAAAUGACACCAGCAAUAUCAGGAUGUGUCAACUGGAUUUAUGCUAAGAAAAUAGGAUUUUUGGUGUUCCUCUGUUUCCCAAAGUUUGAGACACUUUCAGACACUCUGCUUUGCGGUUGUGGCCGAUGUUACCCAUGGGUGGGACUUUUGCUUUGCUCUAGAUUUUUGUAACACCCUGGGGAGUUUCAGGGGCCAAUGCUGAGAGAAGACCACAGGCUGACACAUCAUGAGAUCCUGUCAAAUGUGGACCGGGUGGUGUCAUCGCACCACCAUCAUCCCCUUGUUACCCCUGAGAACACAGCUUCAGAGAGGGGCGGCGCUGGCUUUCAGGCCGUUCAGCAGGGAUGAGUAGAAGGCAUGGAUGAACAUCUUAGAAGCAGCCACUGGCACAGGCCACAGAGACACGAGGACACACUGAGCGCCGGCAGCCAGGAAGGCCCUUGUCAGCGCGAUGACCCCGUCGGCUGUGACUUUGCUGUUGGACUCCUGGGAGGAGCCAAGCACCACCAGCUUCACAGGCAGCUGCAGGUCCAGGACGUCGGCGGCAGUGCCUAACUUACUGAGAAUCAUGCCUGCUGUGAUGAGCCCUUGGAAACCAUCAGGACUGGAUGGUAGGGGUCCUGAGAGGAUUGGGGGAGGAGGCCUUGAUAUGACAGAGUGGACAGAGGCCGUGGAACCCAGGACAGCCAGCCUGCUCCACAAUCCUCAUCCCCACAGACCUUCAUGUGUGGCUCCUAAAUAAGAGGAAACCCACUCCUGAUAAGUCAGGGGCUUUGAAAAGUGAUUUUGUUUAAAUGGUGCAAACAAGCAAGCCAAUCUUGGGGAGACAGGGCUAAACUUAAGUCCUUUAAGAAGCUCUACAUACUGACAAGAUUCUAGUUCCCUUCCACCUUAUAUGCUGCAAAGUAAAAAGUAUCACUGAAUGAGAAAAUCAGCAUAAAGAAGCCCAAUAAUGUCUGCCUGAGUUUCCCCUAUGAUGACUUUUGGUACUUUUUGGGAAACAUUAAGUAUGAAGUUAUUUCAAAAUAAUUUUUUGGUGCCUCUGCUUGGUGAUGCCUUAAACUCUGGGUAAGAGAAACACCAGGUGCCUGUCAGGAGAUGGCCUUUUCCAGGUUUCUGGUUAAGCUACAAACAGCUAACUGGCUGCUGUCAUCAAAAUAAAAGCUUUCUGAAGGUGGAGGCAUCUGAUACCCAGAGUGCUGCUAUCAGCCGGCACGGUGGGCCGCUGGGUGGCAGGAGCGUCGAGAAGGCCAGCUCGCUUCCUAUCUGGGAUUCAGAAUCAGCUAUGGAAACUUGAGAGACCUAGAGAAAAUAACUUCUUUCACUUUGAACUGAUUCUUUGCUUCAUAAGAAAAGUAUUAUCCAGCCACAAAAAUGGUCAAAAUUCAGAUCUACAAAAGCCUGUCAGGCAGAAACUGACCCCACUUAGGCCACGCCAAUGAGCAAGUCAUCAAAGCAGCCAAGACAGGUCCUGUGGGGGCCACCCAUGCACAGGGCCCAGCCUCGGGUCCUAACCCCGCCUAUGCUUUCCGCCACCAUAAAGAGGCCCAUCUGGGUAAGACCUGUCCCGCCUGCUGUGGGGUAUUAGGGCAGAUGGGGUCUGAGGGGUCUGAGGGCUCUGAGAGCAGCUGGCAGCUCAAGGACAUCCGGAGUUGGAGGAUGGAGCAAUGCAGGCCCUUGUGGUAAAGACAGUCCUGCAGCCGCGCAGGCAGGGAUGCUGCAAGUGGAGUGCCAGGCGGGUGCGGAGCCCUGUGGGACUGUGGAGGGGUCAGAGGGAAGCCAGGAUUUUGGGGUCUCUGAGAGUUUGGAGAAGGGGAAGAAGAUUAAAGCUUGUUUCAAAAGUUUCUAAUCAGGUGGGCAGGGCCAAGGGUGGCUGUGGGGUGAGACCCAUGACUCAGGGUGGCCCACUGUUACUCUAUUGAUUUUUGGGCGUUUUUUUCCAAAUUGAUUAUUCUUGCUGAAUGAGACCUGAGUCCUUGACUGUCCCCUUAAAGCCACCUGACUUGUUUUCAGUUCCACUGGCCUGUCGGGCUGUUUUCUACUCAACUCCACUCUUGCUUGUCUGCCCUCCCUGCCUGGGGCCCAGCCAGCAGUCAGCUCAAGGGCCAGAUGAAUUGGGUGGCUGUGCUCUGCCCACUGGGCAUCGUGUGGAUGGUGGGUGACCAGCCCCCUCAGGUGCUCAGCCAGGCCUCAAGCCUUGCUGUGUACCUCAGAGCAGCUCCGUACCCUGAUGUCACAGCAAAGAAACUUAGACAUGACACAAACUGUGGCUUCCCAAGGCAGCAAAGAAUGGCCAGGGGUCAUGAGGGCCGUGCCCCACUUUUGGACAGACCUACUCUAAAGUCACGCUACCUGCGUGCAAAUCAUAAAAUCAACACUUUUGAGGAGAUCACAGCUAUGCCUUCGUAACACAGCCCAGUCCGACCAGAUAGACGGUGCCUCGUGACCCGAAAACAAGCCCCCGGCCCCCCACCAUGUGUGUGAGCCUUACCUUGGACUGCACGCUGAGGGAGCGGAUGGAAGGGACAGCAAGGAGGCCGAAGCGCUCGUAGAGGUACUCAUUGGAGGAGCUUCCCUUCAGGAGGGCGAAAGGAAUGAGGUAGAGCUCCCCCUCCAGAACCAGGAUGAGCUGCCGGUGCCGGCCCACGGGGCCGCUGGAGUGCAUCAGGCCCUAUGGAGCAAGCACGGAGAGGCUGACAUGGGUGGCCCAGCAGGCAGGGGUUUCAGGCACCAGGACAACCCUGAGCCCUAGCCUGGAUGACACAAGCACGAGCAGGUGAGGCCUGUGGGGGUGUGGGGCGCCAUGGGGCAUGGGCCGAGUUGCAGCCCUGCAGGAGCGGCACCAACUGGCAUGCUCGCUUGUGGACUGGCAAGGGCUGGCCUGGCAGCAUCCAUCUGCCUCACAGUCCUGAGAAGGUUAGAGGACAGUUUCUUGAAGUUCACAAGAACCUGAAGUGGGUUGGAGACCGGUCUGUACCGCACAGGCACCCUGAGAAGGGGUGGGAAUGGCCCCUCUCAAAACAAGAUCUGUUUUCCAUUUCAAUGGACAAGAGGCUAGAAAAUCACAGUGAGGACGGGAGGUCUGGGGGCUGGCAUGACAGCCCCUGUAGAAGGGGAUGGGCUGGGUUCUAGGAUCUUCCGUGACCUCCUCUGAGAAAGAGUGGCCCCUUGGCUCUGGGCUUGGGAGGUGCCGUCCCCACUUGUUCCCUCUGGGGAUGUCAGGGGACCCAAUGCAUGGAUGACUCCCAUCCCUCUUGAAAGGCCGAGCAUGAGGACUCGAGGCAGGGUGUGCACAGGGCCACAGCGGACACAGCCUCAUUCCUGUUCAUUGCAGAACAAGGCUAAGGGCGCGGGCAUCUUAAUGAGAGCAGCAGGCAACAAUCCUGGAAGCUGGGUCCACACAGACUGCGGUGAACAAAGAGGUGGCGUGGAAGCUGCUGCUGCAGCCCAGAGCCUGCCAAGAAGGUCCCAGGUCCACAGGGCCUGCGCAACACUGGGUGCCAGGGGUGGGGCUGGCCUGCCCCCCAACCCCAUCUGCUGAGGAGUGGCUGACAAGCGGACACCCACCAGGGUGCCACUCGCUUGUGCCUGGGGAAGCAAAUGUGCUCGCUUGACCCGUCUGAUGUGCUGCCGUGGGCACUUGACUGAGAGUGGCAGAGCACUAGGCUAACCCAAAGUGACACAUGCCUGGCGGGAUGUUCAGUCU
ensembl:lncRNA TTC28-AS1 TTC28 antisense RNA 1